rnacentral:rRNA from 1 species
UACGUAGGUGGCAAGCGUUGUCCGGAUUUACUGGGCGUAAAGAGCGCGCAGGCGGUCGUCCAAGUCGCGUGUGAAAGCCCCCGGCUCAACUGGGGAGGGUCACGCGAUACUGGUCGACUCGAAGGCAGGAGAGGGUAGUGGAAUUCCCGGUGUAGUGGUGAAAUGCGUAGAUAUCGGGAGGAACACCAGUGGCGAAGGCGACUUCCUGGCCUGUUCUUGACGCUGAGGCGCGAAAGCUAGGGUAGCAAACGGGG